CAGUAGCCACGGGAAUACAGAGGGUGCAAGCGUUAAUCGGAAUUACUGGGCGUAAAGCGCGCGUAGGUGGUUUGUUAAGUUGGAUGUGAAAUCCCCGGGCUCAACCUGGGAACUGCAUCCAAAACUGGCAAGCUAGAGUAUGGUAGAGGGUGGUGGAAUUUCCUGUGUAGCGGUGAAAUGCGUAGAUAUAGGAAGGAACACCAGUGGCGAAGGCGACCACCUGGACUGAUACUGACACUGAGGUGCGAAAGCGUGGGGAGCAAACAGGAUUAGAUACCCGCGUAGUCCCUGUCUCUUAUAU
rnacentral:rRNA from 1 species